rnacentral:misc_RNA from 1 species
GAUGAAGAACGUAGCGAAAUGCGAUAAGUAGUGUGAAUUGCAGAAUUCAGUGAAUCAUCGAAUCUUUGAACGCACAUUGCGCCCCUUGGUAUUCCAUGGGGCAUGCCUGUUCGAGCGUCAUCUACACCCUCAAGCCUAGCUUGGUGUUGGGCGCCUGUCCCGCCGUUUUCGCGCGCGGACUCGCCUCAAAGUCAUUGGCGGCGGUCGUGCCGGCCCCCUCGCGCAGCACAUUUGCGCUUCUCGGAGGCCCGGCGGAUCCGCGCUCCAGCAAGACCUUUCACGACUUGACCUCGGAUCAGGUAGGGAUACCCGCUGAACUUAAGCAUAUCAAUAAGCGGAGGA